rnacentral:rRNA from 1 species
UACAGAGGUGGCAAGCGUUGUUCGGAAUUACUGGGCGUAAAGGGCGCGUAGGCGGCCGCCUAAGUCGGACGUGAAAUCCCCCGGCUCAACUGGGGAACUGCGUCCGAUACUGGGUGGCUUGAGUCCGGGAGAGGGAUGCGGAAUUCCAGGUGUAGCGGUGAAAUGCGUAGAUAUCUGGAGGAACACCGGUGGCGAAGGCGGCAUCCUGGACCGGUACUGACGCUGAGGCGCGAAAGCCAGGGGAGCAAACGGG